UACUUAACGCGUUUCGCUUGGACACUGAAGGGGUAGAUCCCAUGUCAAGUAAACAGUCCUUAUGGAGUGGACUACCAAGGUAUCUAAUCCUGUUUGCUCCCCACGCUUUCUUGCCUCAGCGUCAGUAAAUAUUCAGCCAGCUGCCUUCUCAAUCGAUGUUCGUGACAUAUAUAUGCAUUUCAUCGCUACAUGUCACAUUCAACUCACCUCACUCUGAUUCAAGCCAAAUAGUAUCAAAGGCAAUCUCCACGGGUGAGCCGAGAAACUUUCACCUCUGACUUAUCUGGCCGCCUACGCAGCCCUUUAAACCACAGUGAUUCCGGAUAAGACUCGCACCCUCCGUAUUACAUCGGCUGCUGGCACGGAGUUAGCCAGUGCUUAUUCUUCUGGUACCGUCAAAUACUCUUACUAGAAUACAUUUCUUCGCUAACAAAACCAGAUUACAACCCCUAUGGCAUUCGUUCUGUACGCGGGAUGGCUGGGUCAGACUUGCAUCCAUUGCCCAAUAUUCCUUACUGCUGCCUCCCGUAGG
rnacentral:rRNA from 1 species